rnacentral:misc_RNA from 1 species
AAAUAAAGUAACAUGGCUAAUACAUUGAUUCAAAGUACCAUAAUGUUUGCAUUCUAAAGAUUCUGAAGCUGACAUUUCAAUUUAAACAGCAUGCUUAGAUAUGUAAAAAAGAAAAGAAGAAACAUUUAUUAAUAACUGUCUAAUUUAAAAUAAAUAAUGCAAGUGAAGUGUUUAGAUCCUAGAAAUUCUAAAAAGAUAGGUUGCUGGUCUUUGCAUCAUGAGUUAUUGAGUUGGCAUUUUAAAGUCGCAGAAGAACAUUUAGUGGCGUUAUUGCACAGUGUUGUGAUUCAGUGUGAGAUUUAUUUUGAACUUUUAAUGGACCUAGUCAUAAUGGUGACUGGAGCACUGCUGCCCUUUCACGAGGCAGUGCUAAGUUCUUGGUGCUUCAUGAAAGGGCCUAUUCGUGCAGCCAUAUGCCAUGAAGUCCUUGCAUGUAUGUGCAUAGUGAUGAAUGUAUCUGCUCUUACUGAAAGAUUAUUUUGGGGGUUCUUCAUUGGCAAGCUGAGAUGUAGAUUUGCUGUUCUUCAGUUGAG